rnacentral:rRNA from 1 species
GUCGAACGGGGUACCCUUGACGGAGUUUUCGGACAACUGAUAGGAAUACCUANUGGCGGACGGGUGAGUAACGCGUGAGUAACCUGCCUUGGAGUGGGGAAUAACAGCUGGAAACAGUUGCUAAUACCGCAUGAUGCAGUCGGAUCGCAUGGUCUGACUGCCAAAGAUUUAUCGCUCUGAGAUGGACUCGCGUCUGAUUAGAUAGUUGGCGGGGUAACGGCCCACCAAGUCGACGAUCAGUAGCCGGACUGAGAGGUUGACCGGCCACAUUGGGACUGAGACACGGCCCAGACUCCUACGGGAGGCAGCAGUGGGGAAUAUUGGGCAAUGGGCGCAAGCCUGACCCAGCAACGCCGCGUGAAGGAAGAAGGCUUUCGGGUUGUAAACUUCUUUUAUCAGGGACGAAGAAAGUGACGGUACCUGAUGAAUAAGCCACGGCUAACUACGUGCCAGCAGCCGCGGUAAUACGUAGGUGGCAAGCGUUAUCCGGAUUUACUGGGUGUAAAGGGCGUGUANGCGGGAAAGCAAGUCAGGCGUGAAAACUCGGGGCUCAACCCCGAGCCUGCGUUUGAAACUGUUUUUCUUGAG